rnacentral:lncRNA from 1 species
AGAUGCACUGCGCCCCUUUCUCCUUUCCAAACGUGGAAUAAAAUGUAACCCCCGCAUACACACACACCGCCGCCGAAAUUUUAUAGAACUUUAUUCAUUUGGUAUUAAUUUGCACAGUAUUAUUAUUGUCACUGCAGGCAAAGCCUGUGACGCUGUCUUUGAAGAACAUCUCUCAACUGCAUCGCCGUUCCGCCUGGAUUCAUCGCUGACCCCCUCGACGCGCGGGAAAAACGGCUGCCUGCUGCUGCCUGCACGAAUGCAGCAGGGAGGAGGAAGAAGACGGCGCUGGGGAGGGACGGAAGGGCGAAAAUGGGACUGCUGUGGUUGGCUCAAAAGCCCAAAUUAGAUUGCAGGAUUUGAUCAUGCCUGUCAGGCAUGAUCCCCAGCAGAAUCCUGCUUGUACACAAAACAGUUUGCAUUUUACUGUCAAGGAGCACAAUGGAAUGAAUAUGCAGAGACAAGGUGUCUCCAACAUGUGCAUAGAUGUUGCUGUUUGGAAAAUGCAAAGCUUCACACUGAGCUUAUUUACUCCUCUGUUGGUGGAUUAUCACAGACNGAGAAGCCUUAGCUAACAUGCUAGUUCCAGUGGGCAGCCAUACUUCACCCCGCAUCCUGCAGUUCUUCCAAGCUUUCACUGUUUAAUAGAGAGCAACUGGGAGAGGAAAAAGAUUGCUUGUUAUAUAAAGUACACGCUGAUAAACUCUUCCUCUGAAAGUGUAUCAAAAGAGAGAAGAAAAUCUCUCAGUGGACUUAUUUUCUGGUAAAUGUGGAAAAAACUAGUUCAUGAAUUUUGCAGCUGCAUGUACUGAUU